AUUGAACGCUGGCGGCAGGCUUAACACAUGCAAGUCGAGCGAGCGGCGGACGGGUGAGUAAUGUCUGGGAAACUGCCUGAUGGAGGGGGAUAACUACUGGAAACGGUAGCUAAUACCGCAUACCAUCAGAUGUGCCCAGAUGGGAUUAGCUAGUAGGUGGGGUAAUGGCUCAACGAGGCGACGAUCCCUAGCUGGUCUGAGCGGAUGACCAGCCACACUGGAAAGGUGACACGGUCCAGACGCCUACGGGAGGAGUCAGUUGGGAAUAUUGCACAAGGGGCGCAAGCCUGAUGCAGCCAUGACGCGUGUGUGAAGAAGGCCUUCGGGUUGUAAAGCACUUUCAGCGAGGAGGCGUUACUCGCAGAAGAAGCACCGGCUAACUCCGUGCCAGCAGCCGCGGUAAUAC
rnacentral:rRNA from 1 species